CUUCUUGGCCCGGCCCCUGACAGUGGUUGUCGCACGGCCGGCCGCAAGGCUGGCCGUGCCGGAAGCAAUGAGGCUUCCUGGGCUGACUGCAGCAGGCUGGCCAGCUGACAGCAGAGGUGGCUCUAGUAUAAUAGGCCAUCGCCUCAGUCCUCGCGUUAGUGGGGGGCCUCGCUCAGGGCCCCGACUAGCGCAAGUUACUCCUCACUCUCCGGCUGACCGCCGGGAUUGAAGUUUAAUACAGCAGUUCCGGUUCCAUCCUGCCUGCAGGCGGCGAGCCCCAGCGCUGCACCCGACCAGCCCCUGCUGAUCCUCUGCCACUUUAAGAGAAAGGGCUGCUGGGGCUGGUCGCCUGCCAUAGAAACUGCUGCUGGGGCUGGUCGCCUGCCAUAGAAACUGCUGUGAUUAGUUCCCUGACCUCCUGAACCCCCCCCCCCCCCGCCCGCUGCUCACCUCAGAGAGACAACAUACGGACACUUCCUCACACCCUCUGUGGCUCUGCCUCCCCACCUGUAAGAGGAGCUCCAGGAUCCCCCAGUAACGGUGACGGCAUCUUUGUAAAAAGCAGCAGGUUUAAUGGUGAAGAAUUGUCGCUGGAAGAAAUUGUCAUGAUGGCUGGGCCAGAUGGAGAAGAAAAGGGAACAACGCUGAUUAGAGAAGAUUUCAUUUAGACAAGCCAGGCUUCAGAGGUACUGGGUGCACCCAAUCAAUACCCUUCGGGAUUCACAUGGCCACAUCGGGAAACUAUAUGUUGAGCUGAGAAGGUAUCCUGAAAAAUGUAACAACUUUGUGAGGAUGCCUAUGGAGGCCCUAGACAAGCUGCUGGACAUUCUUGGUCCACACCUGCGUUAUCAGGACACAGUGAUGCGUCAAGCAAUCUCACCCACAGCCCGUUUGUUGAUCACAUUGUGGUAAGUAGAGUUUGCAAUAUUUUAAAUUUUCACGUUCAUCAACCUCUCUCUGCAAACAGUCUAGUUGCUACAGGACAGGCAAACCAAGCAAUUGCUUGGGGCCACGAGCUGGCUCGAGGCCCCGAGCAGAGCCGUUGCUUGUCCUGCCAAGCCGUCCUCCUGCCCCUAUCCCGUUUCAGCAGCUAGCCCUGUCGACCGACCGAGCCAGCAGUGCGAGAGCCUGGAGCAGGACGGGAGGCUAAAAUGCUGUCCUAUAGCG